UAGUCUAGUCGGAGUCGCACGGUGGGAUACUACCCUCGUUGUAUGAACAUUCUAACACUGGUCACUCAACGUGAUCGUGGACAGUGUCUGGCGGGCAGUUUGACUGGGGCGGUCGCCUCCUAAAAGGUAACGGAGGCGCUCAAAGGUUUGCUCAGAAUGGUUGGAAAUCAUUCGUAGCGUGUAAAGGCAUAAGCAAGCUUGACUGCGAGAGCUACAACUCGAGCAGGUACGAAAGUAGGACUUAGUGAUCCGGUGGUUCCGCAUGGAAGGGCCA
rnacentral:rRNA from 1 species